rnacentral:rRNA from 1 species
ACACCCGCUUGUAGACGGACGAAUGCUGCAGAGCGAUCCAUCCCGACUAGAUGCAUGACAUACGCCGCUUGUAUGAAUGCCCAUACCGUAUCACCCCCUACCGCGUGAGUAGAUGCAUUGCUCUGCUGGACCUUAUAGCUGAACACCAUAAGUCACCAAGGCAGCAAACCUGGGCAUACGCUGGUCAAAGUGGCUACCAAGGCGACCAUCUAGAAUACCGGUCUGAGAGGAUGAUCCGACACACUGGGACUGAGACACGGCCCAGACUCCUACGGGAGGCAGCAGUGGGGAAUAUUGGACAAUGGGCGAAAGCCUGAUCCAGCCAUGCCGCGUGUGUGAAGAAGGCCUUUUGGUUGUAAAGCACUUUAAGCGAGGAGGAGGCUACUGAGAUUAAUACUCUUGGAUAGUGGACGUUACUCGCAGAAUAAGCACCGGCUAACUCUGUGCCAGCAGCCGCGGUAAUACAGAGGGUGCGAGCGUUAAUCGGAUUUACUGGGCGU